rnacentral:rRNA from 2 species
GAGUCUGAUGGAGCAUGCCGCGUGAGUGAAGAAGGUUUUCGGAUCGUAAAACUCUGUUGUUGAAGAAGAACAUAUGUGAGAGUAACUGUUCACGUACUGACGGUAUUCAACCAGAAAGCCACGGCUAACUACGUGCCAGCAGCCGCGGUAAUACGUAGGUGGCAAGCGUUGUCCGGAUUUAUUGGGCGUAAAGAGAAUGUAGGCGGUUUAUUAAGUUUGAAGUGAAAGCCCUCGGCUCAACCGAGGAAGUGCUUCGAAAACUGGUAAACUUGAGUGCAGAAGAGGAAAGUGGAACUCCAUGUGUAGCGGUGGAAUGCGUAGAUAUAUGGAAGAACACCAGUGGCGAAGGCGGCUUUCUGGUCUGUAACUGACGCUGAGAUUCGAAAGCAUGGGUAGCAAACAGGAUUAGAUACCCUGGUAGUCCAUGCCGUAAACGAUGAGUGCUAAGUGUUGGAGGGUUUCCGCCCUUCAGUGCUGCAGCUAACGCAUUAAGCACUCCGCCUGGGGAGUACGAUCGCAAGAUUGAAACUCAAAGGAAUUGACGGGGGCCCGCACAAGCGGUGGAGCAUGUGGUUUAAUUCGAAGCAACGCGAAGAACCUUACCAGGUCUUGACAUACCAUGAAAAGCUUAGAGAUAAGUCUUUCCCUUCGGGGACAUGGAUACAGGUGGUGCAUGGUUGUCGUCAGCUCGUGUCGUGAGAUGUUGGGUUAAGUCCCGCAACGAGCGCAACCCUUAUUAUCAGUUGCCAGCAUUCAGUUGGGCACUCUGGUGAGACUGCCGGUGAUAAACCGGAGGAAGGUGGGGACGACGUCAAAUCAUCAUGCCCCUUAUGACCUGGGCUACACACGUGCUACAAUGGUCGGUACAACGUGCUGCGAACUCGCGAGGGUAAGCAAAUCACUUAAAACCGAUCUCAGUUCGGAUUGUAGGCUGCAACUCGCCUACAUGAAGCUGGAAUCGCUAGUAAUCGCGGAUCAGCAUGCCG